rnacentral:snRNA from 1 species
AUAUAUAUGGCUGCACAUACACUCAAAUUGGAACAUACAGAGAAGAUUAUAAUUACAGAGAAGAUUAUAAUGGUACCUGCACAAGGAUGACACGCAAAUUAGUGAAUUGUUUCAUAUUUUU